rnacentral:lncRNA from 1 species
UUGGCCCGUUUUGGCCGCCUUCCCGAGCCCGGAUGCUCGGCCCGCUUUGAGGAAAGUCGAUCCUCGCAUCGUCCCCGUCGUUUUGGUCCGCUCGGCUCGCUAAUCCGGUGAGUUUAACUCACUAAACCUCGCUUAGAGGGUUAAUGAUGCUUUAGGUGUGUUUAGUUUAUGUUAAGUGUUAUUAGGUGGUUAGUUUAAUUUAUUUAAGUGUAGAUUAUAUUAAUGUGCUUGAUUAACUUAUAUUGUGUUUAAUUUAAAGUUAAGUGGGUGUUUAUAUUAAUAUAAACAUUGAUGUGACAUAAAGGAAUUUACUUUUGAUUUAUUUAAAUAUCUCGAAAUUAUUUAAUAAUUUAAUAAUAUAUUAUUAUUCGAAAUUAUUAAAAUAUUACUAUUUAAUUAUUUUCGGAAUAAAUUUAAUUAUUUAUUAAAUUCCGAAAAUUUUGUCAGGACCCUAAAUUCUCAGAAUUUCGUGCCGGUCGCUGCUGUGCAGUCAGAUUUUGAAAUUGACGAUUGGAUAUUAUAAAUUGAGUGGGGAUCGUGAAAGAUAUGGAUAUUAUUAUUUAAUUAAUUUUCGGAAUAAAUUUAAUUAUUUAAUAAAUUCUGAAAAUUAUUUUGGAACCUUAUUUCCUCAGAAUUUCGUGCUGAUUGCUGCUGUGCAUUUAGAAUUUGAAUUCGAUGAAUGGAUGUGGCAAAUUGAGUGUUGAUUGUGGUAAAUAGAGAUUUUAUUCAUAAAAACCCAAGUGUCGGGUUUUUAUGCAAAAAUUGGAUUUUAAUUAUUAUAUUAAAUAGUGGGGUUUGAAAAAGUGAGAUAUUGGCUUUUUGAUUCGAAAUUAGCGUGUCCCCACACACGUGAGUAAUUUCUGGAAUAUUUUUAAUAUGAAGAAAAAUGGUCGGGAUCACUAUUUUAAGUGGAAGCAUUGAGUGAAAUAUAAAGUGUCCUGGGGCCGAGUAUGCUUUGGCUGUGUGAUAACUAAGAGGAAUCGUCCUGGGCUGUUGAGCCGGACUUGCCCCUAUAUGGGAUGCCCACGCAGUGGUUGCGGGUCGCAUUUGAUUCUGGGCCCAUGCUCCUUCGGGAACGCCGUCGAUGUACUGACGAAGCCGCGCUCCAUGGGGGGGAGGCGAUGCCUGGCUAUAUGCCAGUAGAUAGCCGAACUGCGAGUAGGCUAUGCCCUUGUGUGGUAGUGAAUAACAAUUGGAAUGCACGUUGAGUGUUGUUGAUGUGUCGGAUUAUGAGACAGAAUUGUGUGGCAUGGAAUGGGACGUGUCAUAACGAUUUAGUCUUAUAAUCAGGACCCCCGCAGUUGUUGGUUAUAUGAAAGUGAAUACGUUCCGGUUGUUUAAGUUCCUCUUACUAUCUGUGAUUGAGUGAUUUGAAUUGCGCUAACCUGCAGGAAGGAACUGAGGCGAGGUAAGUCUUCUGUGUGAAGUGGCUAGGCCACCCGGGGUGUAUUUUCUUUCUAAUAGGGGUUUAGGGGGUUGAACUUGCUGAGACAUCGUCUCAUCCCGGUUGUGGGAUUAAAAUUUCAGGUCCCUGGUGGACGGAGCGACCAGAUAGCUUUGGUUGGCUUUGAGGAGUUGCAGAGGUGAAGUCAUAAGGAUUGGAGAAUGUGUCCGACUUGUAGGUCGUAGGACAGUUCCUUUUUAAG